GGACCCGCACAAGCAGCGGAGCAUGUGGUUUAAUUCGAAGCAACGCGAAGAACCUUACCAAGGUUUGACAUCCCCUUGACAGAUGCAGAGAUGUGUCCUCCCCUUCGGGGGCAAGGGAGACAGGUGGUGCAUGGUUGUCGUCAGCUCGUGUCGUGAGAUGUUGGGUUAAGUCCCGCAACGAGCGCAACCCUUAUCAUUAGUUGCCAGCAUUUAAGGUGGGCACUCUAAUGAGACUGCCGGUGAUAAACCGGAGGAAGGUGGGGAUGACGUCAAAUCAUCAUGCCCCUUAUAUCUUGGGCUACACACGUGCUACAAUGGUCGGUACAAAGGGCAGCGAAAGAGCGAUCUGAAGCAAAUCCCAAUAAACCGAUCCCAGUUCGGAUUGUAGGCUGCAACUCGCCUACAUGAAGUUGGAGUUGCUAGUAAUCGCGAAUCAGAACGUCGCGGUGAAUGCGUUCCCGGGUCUU
rnacentral:rRNA from 1 species